CUAAACUACCCAGGCACCCCAUAAUGUGGUAUUUCUGAAUGACAGUUUGACCACGACAGUUUGUCAUGGUCAUCAAAGAUCCCAAAAGCAAAAACUCUCUUCCUGGCACCGCCUCAGUCAGCCAUGAUUUCAAUGACUUCAAUUUCCCCAUAGUGUUCAGAAUAAUCUCUUAAGUGAUGUUCUUCAGUGUCUUCUCUAAUGUCACCAACAAAAAAUCUUUUUCUACAGGUAAGUGGGCACCAGGUCUUUGAGAAUCUUCUCUUUGGUUCCACAACUCUCCAAUCCACCUGCCCCCUGAAGCACUUAGUGUUUGGCUCUCUCAUUACACCACAUAGUCCGUGAGCUUUCUGCAUUGCUCAAAAUGGCUCCUCAGACUCAUCAGCUGUUUGAAAGCUCCCAUGAAGAACUCUGCAGCUGCUCAGAAUCUUUGGGAGACUGACUUCAACAUGCCAGCAGGAGGAGAAACUUGAACAGUGCUUACUUGCCAGCAUUCACAGACAGAGACCACAAGCAGGCAGCGAAAGAGGAAGGGAAGC